GACGAACGCUGGCGGCGUGCUUAACACAUGCAAGUCGAACGGUAAGGCUCCAGCUUGCUGGGGUACACGAGUGGCGAACGGGUGAGUAACACGUGGGUGACCUGCCCUGCACUUCGGGAUAAGCCUGGGAAACUGGGUCUAAUACCGGAUAGGACCAUGGUGUGGAUACUGUGGUGGAAAGUUUUUUCGGUGUGGGAUGGGCCCGCGGCCUAUCAGCUUGUUGGUGGGGUAAUGGCCUACCAAGGCGGCGACGGGUAGCCGGCCUGAGAGGGUGGACGGCAACAUUGGGACUGAGACACGGCCCAGACUCCUACGGGAGGCAGCAGUGGGGAAUAUUGCACAAUGGGCGGAAGCCUGAUGCAGCGACGCCGCGUGGGGGAUGACGGCCUUCGGGUUGUAAACUCCUUUCACCAUCGACGAAGGGUUUCUGACGGUAGAUGGAGAAGAAGCACCGGCUAACUACGUG
rnacentral:rRNA from 1 species